rnacentral:rRNA from 1 species
GACGUAGGGCGCGAGCGUUGUCCGGAAUUACUGGGCGUAAAGGGCGCGUAGGCGGCCUGCUAAGUCGGAUGUGAAAUCCCUCGGCUCAACCGAGGAACUGCAUCCGAUACUGGCGGGCUUGAAUCCGGGAGAGGGAUGUGGAAUUCCAGGUGUAGCGGUGAAAUGCGUAGAUAUCUGGAGGAACACCGGUGGCGAAGGCGGCAUCCUGGACCGGUAUUGACGCUGAGGCGCGAAAGCUAGGGGAGCAAACGGG